UACGUAGGGUGCAAGCGUUGUCCGGAAUUAUUGGGCGUAAAGAGCUCGUAGGCGGUCUGUUGACGUCCGGCUGUGGAAAAACUCGGGGGCUUAACCCCCGAGCCUGCAGUGGAUACGGGGCAGACUAGAGGGUGAGGUAGGGGAGAAUGGAAUUCCCGGUGUAGCAGUGAAAUGCGUAGAUAUGCGGAGGAACACCGAUGGCGAAGGCAAUCCCCUGGGCCUGCACUGACGCUCAUGCACGAAAGCGUGGGGAGCAAACAGG
rnacentral:rRNA from 1 species